CCUACGGGAGGCAGCAGUGAGGAAUAUUGGUCAAUGGUCGGGAGACUGAACCAGCCAAGCCGCGUGAGGGAGGAAGGUACAGAGUAUCGUAAACCUCUUUUGUCAGGGAACAAAGACUGGGACGCGUCCCCGGAUGAGGGUACCUGAAGAAAAAGCAUCGGCGAACUCCGUGCCAGCAGCCGCGGUAAUUCGGGGGAUGCGAGCGUUAUCGGGAUUUAUUGGGUUUAAAGGGGUCGCAGGCGGGCUGGUAAGUCAGCGGUAAAAGCCCGGGGCUCAACCCCGGCCCGCCGUUGAAACUGGCAGUCUCGAGUUGGAGAGAAGUAUGCGGAAUGCGCGGUGUAGCGGUGAAAUGCAUAGAUAUCGCGCAGAACUCCGAUUGCGAAGGCAGCAUGCCGGCUCCACACUGACGCUGAGGCACGAAAGCGUGGGUAUCGAACAGGAUUAGAUACCCUUGUAGUC
rnacentral:rRNA from 1 species